AAUUCUAGAGCUAAUACAUGCAGCACGCUCUGAUUCCUUGUGAACAGAGCGCAGUUAUUAGAUCAAAAACCAAUCGACUUUACUUUCGGGUUUAGUCGCUCUUUUGGUGAAACUGAGUAACCACAGCAAACCGCAUGGCCUCGUGCUCGGCGGUCUGUCGGUCAAGUAACUGCCUUAUCAGCUUGUUGUUAGGUUACAUGCCUAACAAGGCGUCAACGGGUAACGAACGAUCGGGGUCGGACAUCGGAGAGGGAGCCUGAGAAACGGCUACCACUUCCAAGGAAGGCAGCAGGCGCGCAAAUUACCCACUCCCGGCACGGGGAGGUAGUGACGAAGCGUAUCGAUGCGGGGCCAUUAGUGCCUUCGUAAUCGGAAUGAGUACACUUUAAAUCCUUUAACGAGGACCUAUUGGAGGGCAAGUCUGGUGCCAGCAGCCGCGGUAAUUCCAGCUCCAAUAUCUUAUAUUAAUGCUGCUGCGGUUAAAAAGCUCGUAGUCGGAUCUGGGUUUUCGCCGGACACCAUAUGCAGCCUCGUGUUGUAUAUGUGUGUUAUACGUGCUGCUUCGGCAGUACUGCCAGUCUAGUUCUGUCUCUUUGUAGGCAAGCUAGGCUGGUCGGCGGAACCACGGGCCAAGCCGGGCGGUAUGCUCUUUACUGAGUGUACUGUCUGCUUGGUGCGUUUACUUUGAAAAAAUUGGAGUGCUCAAAGCAGGCGUACAGUCGCUAUGCGGCCGGAACAGUGGUGCAUGGAAUAAUGGAAUAGGACCUCGGUUCUAUUUUGUUGGUUUUAAGAAUUCGAGGUAAUGAUUAAGAGGGACAGACGGGGACAUUUGUAUUGCGACGUUAGAGGUGAAAUUCUUGGAUCGUCGCAAGAC
rnacentral:rRNA from 1 species